rnacentral:rRNA from 1 species
CCGCACGCGCGUUACACUGACAGAGCCAGCGAGUUUUUCCCUUGGCCGGAAGGCCCGGGUAAUCUUGUGAAACUCCGUCGUGCUGGGGAUAGAGCAUUGCAAUUGUUGCUCUUCAACGAGGAAUCCCUAGUAAGCGCAAGUCAUCAGCUUGCGUUGAUUACGU